GUAGGGAAUCUUGCGCAAUGGGCGAAAGCCUGACGCAGCCAUGCCGCGUGAAUGAUGAAGGUCUUAGGAUUGUAAAAUUCUUUCACCGGGGACGAUAAUGACGGUACCCGGAGAAGAAGCCCCGGCUAACUUCGUGCCAGCAGCCGCGGUAAUACGAAGGGGGCUAGCGUUGCUCGGAAUUACUGGGCGUAAAGGGAGCGUAGGCGGAUAGUUUAGUCAGAGGUGAAAGCCCAGGGCUCAACCUUGGAAUUGCCUUUGAUACUGGCUAUCUUGAGUAUGGAAGAGGUAUGUGGAACUCCGAGUGUAGAGGUGAAAUUCGUAGAUAUUCGGAAGAACACCAGUGGCGAAGGCGACAUACUGGUCCAUUACUGACGCUGAGGCGCGAAAGCGUGGGGAGCAAACAGGAUUAGAAACCCCAGUAGUCC
rnacentral:rRNA from 1 species